rnacentral:lncRNA from 1 species
GCUUUGCGAGCUUGUAUGUAUGUGUACCAUGUAUGUACCAGGUACCCUGGGAAUUCAGAAGAAAGCAUCAGAUCUCCCUGGAACUGGAAGCACUGAUGGUAUGAGCCACCAUAUGGGUCCUGGGAACCAGCCAAGGUCCUCUGCAAGAACCACACAUGCAAAAGCUGUGGAGCCAUCUCUCCAGCUCCAUCUUUAAUUCUUUUGGCACUGAAAAUCUUUACUCCAAGAAAAUCUCACCUAAACUUCCAUCAAAACCAAUGGGAAAUCAGCAAUCGCAGGCCAGAGUGUUUCUGGGACGGUGGCUGCUUAAUCAACCAAGCCCUGGAAGGAGGAACGACCAGAAGAGAGCCCUGACUCAGGCUGGAAUUGAAUAAGACCACUGAGGUGUUGGGAUUGCAUGCUGUUACUACAGCAUAAUCCACCCAGCCCUGAUUAAUAGCCCUGAACGAGCCCAGAUCUCCAGAAUUCCCUUGUGGUCUAAGCUGAGGGGUUUCCCUAAAUGCCAUUCCUGCCCAUGCUUUAGAUGGUGUGCUGGGUUUGGGAAGUCUUCUGCCUUUCAUGUGGAUCUGAGGACCAGUUCUGAGCUGCCUCAUACGGGAGACUGCAGUGAGCUGAAUGGUACCCUUCAGAAAGGCCUGGACUGUUACAUUGCUGGGGGGUUGACGGGGUCUUUGUAAAUGUAGUUAACUUAAGGCCGUGAAGCAGAAGAUCAGCCUGAAUUAGCAAUGUGGGCCUUAGUGGCCCAGUGGCAGGUGUACUUUUAAGUGUGAAGCAGGGAGGCCAGGGUUUAACUUAAUGGUGGAACAGUUGUUAAGUUUGUUUUUUAAGUUCCAACAUUGCUUAAUAAACAAGGUACUGAAAAUGAAGAUAGCUAAUGGGGUUAAGAUAAGAGUGGUAUGGAUCAAGUAGGAAGACAACUAAGGAAGAUAGUGGAGCCAGCACCGUGUGUAUGGAGGGAAAAGGGGGGGGCGCAGAGCCAAGCCUCUCAUCCCUGCCAGUGAUGU